rnacentral:tRNA from 1 species
GUAAAGAUGCCAGAUUUAAUGGGGUUGGUUUAGGACCAGCUUAUGGUUAAGUUAACCUCUUUGCU